CUCUGUCGACAGUAACGAUGGCGAAAGACAUGCUGAAUCAAACCCAAAAGCAAUCUUACAAACAUUGUCAAAAGCGAAUCUCUAAAGAAUCUCUUGCAAGUCAAGCACCGUCUUCUCAACAGCAGCAUCAGAAAACAUCGGGAUCAAACGAUCAUUAAGCUCCGUAUCAACAACGUUUUGAAUAAAUUUACGAAGAGAUUUGGUGUUGAACUCGUGGCUGGAAACUUGUCUCUGGAACUUCUAGGACUCGCCGUCGAUAUUGAAGAUUCCGUUGCCUAGAAAAUCGAAGAAAACGUGAAUGAAGAA